rnacentral:rRNA from 1 species
CCGCAUCUGUGCAUGCAGCAUAUCAAUAAGCGGAGGAAAAGAAACUAACAAGGAUUCCCCUAGUAACGGCGAGUGAAGCGGGAAGAGCUCAAAUUUGAAAUCUUAAAGGAUUUCCCUUUACGAAUUGUAGUUUAAAGAAGUGUUUUCUGUUGAGGUUUUGGUAAAAGUUCUUUGGAAUAGGACAUCAUAGAGGGUGAGAAUCCCGUAUUUGACCUUUACUUUCAACUUUGUGAUACACUUUCAAAGAGUCGGAUUGUUUGGGAAUGCAGUCCAAAAUGGGUGGUAAAUUUCAUCUAAAGCUAAAUAUUGGCGAGAGACCGAUAGCGAACAAGUACCGUGAGGGAAAGAUGAAAAGAACUUUGAAAAGAGAGUUAAACAGUACGUGAAAUUGUCAAAAGGGAAGCGUUUGACACCAGUGUUGUUUUUCUGAAAAUCAAUUAAAGAACUGUUUAUGCUAAGCUGUUUAGACUUUAUCAGCUAACUGUUUAGUUUUGAGCUUUUCUUUAAUGCACUUUUCAGUUAACAAGUCAACAUCAAUUUCUUUUGCUGUAAAAAAGCUUGAGGAAGGUGGCUUGAGAUUCGUCUUAAGUGUUUAUAGCCUCUUGCCUAUGCAGUCGGAGAGAUUGAGGUCUGCAGCGUAGAUCCUUCGGGGCUAAAUGCAUUUGUGCUAAGUUAUAGCAUUUCAUAGACAACUUGUUGACUAUGAUUUGUCUUGUAGCUUACUCGCUUAUGUUAUUUUACCUACGCUUAGGAUGUUGACAGCAGUAUAGACUGU